rnacentral:rRNA from 1 species
GACGAACGCUGGCGGCGUGCUUAACACAUGCAAGUCGAGCGGUAAGGCCCUUUCGGGGGUACACGAGCGGCGAACGGGUGAGUAACACGUGGGUGACCUGCCCUCAGCUCUGGGAUAAGCCUGGGAAACCGGGUCUAAUACCGGAUAUGACUCCAUGACGCAUGUUGUGGGGUGGAAAGCCUUGUGCGGCUGAGGAUGGGCCCGCGGCCUAUCAGCUUGUUGGUGGGGUGAUGGCCUACCAAGGCGACGACGGGUAGCCGGCCUGAGAGGGCGACCGGCCACACUGGGACUGAGACACGGCCCAGACUCCUACGGGAGGCAGCAGGUGGGGAAUCUUGCGCAAUGGGCGAAAGCCUGACGCAGCGACGCCGCGUGAGGGAUGACGGCCUG